rnacentral:rRNA from 1 species
CUUGGCUGUCUGUCAGCUCGUGUCGUGAGAGGUUGUGGUAAGUCCCGCAACGAGCGCGACCUUGAUCUUAGUUCCCCCCUUCAGUUGGGCUCUCUAAGGUGACUGCCGAGACAAACCGGAGAAAGGUGGGAAUGAAGUACAAAUCAUCAUGCUCCUUAUGACCUGUGCUACACACAUCGCUACGAUGGACAGAACAAAGGCCAGCGCACCCGCUGUGAUUAUGCAAUCCCACAAAUCUGUUCUCAGUUCGGAUCGCAGUCUGCAACUCGACUGCGUGAAGCUGGAAUCGCUAGUAAUCGC